rnacentral:rRNA from 1 species
CUACGGGUUGCAGCAGUGAGGAAUAUUGCACAAUGGGGGGAACCCUGAUGCAGCAACGCCGCGUGGAGGAUGACGCAUUUCGGUGUGUAAACUCCUUUUAUAUGUCAAGAAAAUGACGGUAGCAUAUGAAUAAGCACCCGCUAACUCCGUGCCAGCAGCCGCGGUAAUACGGAGGGUGCAAGCGUUACUCGGAAUCACUGGGCGUAAAGGACGCGUAGGCGGGUUGGAAAGUCAGGUGUGAAAUCCUACAGCUUAACUGUAGAACUGCACUUGAAACUUCUAAUCUAGAGUAUGGGAGGGGGAGAUGGAAUUAGUGGUGUAGGGGUAAAAUCCGUAGAUAUCACUAGGAAUACCUAAAGCGAAGGCGAUCUCCUGGAACAUUACUGACGCUAAGGCGUGAAAGCGUGGGGAGUAAACAGGAUUAGAUACCCCCGUAGUC